AUUUUUGUGGCAUUGCACAUGGUCAGUGUGAACCAGAGUGACUUGACAAAAUGGGCCAAGCAAGCUGUACAAACAAAACGGAAACUACACAGGACGUCUUAUUUAAUGAAAGGGAUUGCAGUCUGCUGUGAAGCGUUCAUUCAUGUACACGGCACCAUUUCUACACCAACUACGGAAUUGGAGAAACACAUGUGGACCUGAAUUGUGAUAACUGCAUUGGUGAAAAAAAAAGAAAGUUUGUGGUCUCGAGAUUGCUGGUGUUGUGAAGGACAGCACUGCGACAGGGGUCAACAUCCCAUAGCUGUUUGGACUAGAGGAUUGUACGGUACUAGUGGAAAGCUAUGCCUGGCAACAACACCUGACUUCGUACUUCAGGCCGCUGCCGCAGAUCAAGCAGUACCAACACUUCAGGAGAAUAUCAUUUUCAUUGCAUUGUAUAAGCUUUGAUGCUCUGGAGCCUGGUGUUGUUGUUGCCAAUGAGCAUUUGGACUCAGUCGGGACCAGGUUUCAGCUCCUGCGCAACGCCGACAUCAUUCCUCCAAUAGAUGGUCUGCCUGUACAAGCACCACUUGGACUGGAAACAGCAAGACAAACUUACAUUUCUGAGAAGAUCAGGGAGUUUUGCGAUGAAGAGACUAUGGACAUCACAUGCCCUGCACCAAAGUCAAGGGCAGGAAAGAAACAGGCCCUCCGAAUAUAGAUUCCCUUGUUCAUGCGCGGUUUGAACGGACCAGUUCAUCACUGGGGUGCGAGUUCCCAGUCAUCAGCACUAUCUGCAGUGCCUCUAUUCACUCUCCUAACACACACGCCAUACAUUAAGGCUACUAUUUAUUUUUUUAUCCUGCUGCUCAGGCACUUUACCCGAUUGUAUGCAUCUAUCACCAGUAUCAACGAUAUCGUUAUUGUUCUUGUACAUACGGUAUAUUAUUUUGUUCUUUCUCUACUGGCAUUGACACUUUUUCUUAUAUUUUCUUUAUAUUGACACCAUCUAUUUUUGAUAUUGCUACUAUGCAAGUAACCAUUUACUGUACCGUUUACACCUUCUGUAGUGACCCAUCCACUAAGCUAGAUGUGGCUGGGGGAUUAUAGCAUUUCUUUCACCAAUUUAGACAAGUGUGUCUGGGUAAGAAUCAUCUAAUAUUUAUACAAUAUUUGUUAUCUGGACACUUUCUGUUUACCUGGAAUUUUUUCUUAUUGUAGGCUACAACUUUUACCACUUUUAGUCUUAAUCUUUACUACACUACUCAGUGUUUAGCACAUGACCUCACAUGUGAAUCCUUAAAGAGAUGGGUGGGUCUGGUUUAAGACGGUGUGAACAAUGCUGAAUAGGUGUAGACAAAGCUCUCUCCAGUAGGUGUACCAAAACAUUCAAUGGCCACUUUCUCAAAAGUGGGAUUACAAGUUCAUCAACUUUCAAAGCAGAAUUACUUUCCCAUUGUUCAUCAAAUGCAGUGUAUGAUAUAACAUUUUGUAGCUCUGUGUCUGCUUUUAUCCAAUGUCAAAAACACCAUUUCAAAUACUAUAUUAUCCUACUUA